UGCUUUAAUUUAAUUUAUUUAGUUUUUAGUAUUGCAUACUAGUAAAGGAGAAUGUUAUAGUAAUAAUAAAUUAAAUAGGGAAGUAGAAAAUUGUUUGGUUUUGUUGUAACAAAACAAAGAUUAUUAAUUUUAGGGUUGAUAUGUCGUUUCUCUGUAUAUUAGUUUGUAGUUUAGGCUAUUAGAAAGUUGUAGUUUUUUGUUUUUAUUUAAUAGAUUAUAAUUUGAAGUAUUAGUUUUUUUAGUUUUAUAACUAUUGUUAAAUUUUAAUAAAAUUUGUUGAGUUUAUUUAUUAUAUCUUUAGUAAAUUAAUAAUUUUUAUAUUAGUAUCUUUUUUUCUUAGGUUAUUUUAUAAUUUAAUAUAAAUUGUUAAUUAAAUAUUUAAUCAAAUGUUUUUUAAAGACUUAGAUUCUUUUAUAGAGUUUGCUUCUGCCCAGUGAUAAGGUUUAACGGCAGUCUUAGCGUGAGGACAUUAAGGUAGCAAAAUUAUUUGUACUUUUAAUGAGUUCCAGUAUGAAUGAAGUUAUUGGUUAGUUAUUUAUUUUUUUUAUGGUGAAUUUUUUUUAGGAUUAAAAAAUAUCUUUUACUAUUGGACAAAGAUAAGUCUUCGGAAAUUUUUUUGUUAAUAUUGUUGUAUUAAUAUUAUCAAAUUUUCUAGGGUAGAAUAUUAUAUAGUUUUUUUAUCUAAUGUUAAGAUAAAAAAUUACUCCGGAGUUAACAGAAAAUCAUACUUCAUCCAGUUCUAAUGGUAAGGUAAGUUUUACAUCGAUGUUGUAUCUAAGUAGUUUAAGGAGGAGAAGAUUUAAGUUUUUAGACUGUUCUUCUAUUAGAUUUACUUAACGUGAUAUUAGUUUAAUUCAUCGUGAGAUAGAAUUGUUUAUCUUGUUAAUUGUUUUUUUAAGUUUAUUAGUACGAAAGGAAUAUUUAAUUAAGUUUUAAACUUUUUUAAUAAUGGUUGAGUUA
rnacentral:rRNA from 1 species